rnacentral:lncRNA from 1 species
CCCGGGCACCCUCAUCAGCGCCCUGGUGCUGGGCAGCCUCCUGCUGCAGACAGCCCUGCUCAUCACUGUGCAGGUCCUCAGCUACUUCAUCACCGUCUCGCAGAGCUGGUUCGUCCCCCUGAACAGCACAGUGACAGCCCCCCAGAACCUGCCCAACUACGAGAACACCGUCCUGUUCUGCGUCAGUGGCUUCCAGUACCUCAUCCUGGCCGUGGCCAUGUCCAAGGGAUACCCCUUCCGGGAGCCCCUCUACACCAACGUGCUCUUCCUGCUCGUCCUCGUCCUGCUCUUUGGCCUCAUGAUCUGGUUGACGCUCUACCCGUUGGGCUUCCCCAAAACCCUCCUGAAGCUCCACGGCAUCGAGGACCUGAACUUCAAGCUGCUGCUGCUGGGAAUCGCCGCCCUCAACUUCUUCGCCGCCUUCGUGCUGGAGACUGCCCUGGACCAUGGCCUGCUCCGCUGCUGCCGCAGGAUACGCCGGAAAAAAGCCUCCAAGAAGCUCUUCAAGAGGCUGGAGAAGGAGCUGAGCCAGCAGCAGCCGGGCUGGCCCCCCCUCAACGAGCCCCUCUUUGCCACCCCCAGGAUGGCCAUGGCCCUGAGAUAGCGGGCGCGGGGCCCUCCCGUGCCACCCUCAGACGAUGGCCUUUAUUUAUUGAUCCCGGGAAAAGGAGGGAUGCGGCGGGCGGGAUCCCGCGGCACGGCAGCUCUGGGGCCACAGUCGUGGUGGUCCCACAGGGAGGAGGUGGUGGAGGAGAAACGGGAGGAGAAGAUCCAGAGGAAGAGGAGGAACCGGAGGGGCUCUUCCUCCAGGGUUUCUCCCGCUCCUGCGCCGGGCACCGGGGCUGUUCCGCAGCGGAAUUCCACCUCCCUCGUCCUCUCCUGGCUGCCCAAACUGAGCUCCAUGACCUCUUUCCAGCUGGAAUUUCCUAGAAAAUAAUAAUUAUGGCUGGAAAACUGCAGGUGGCCUGGCCAAGACUCCAAAACUCACUCCGAGGAAACGCCGCAGACGGAGGUGCCGCAUCCCAAAAACAGAGGAGGGUCCCUGAUCCUCUCCUGGCGAGGGCACCCCCCCGACCUCGUGUCCAUGUCACUGUGACUCCCCUCCAUGGCCCUCCCUAGAUGUGUAGGAAGUUUACAGUCCCCAUUCCCAGCUUGCCAAGGAUGCUGCUCCAUCCUGGGGACCAACUGCGGGCCCCUUUCCCGCUUGGAAUGCUCCCGCAGGGCACUUCUGCUUCCGGCUGGGACCUUUGUAGCAUUAAAAAAACCCCAGAUCUCUUUAUUUUUUAACUACACUCCGAUGCCUCGAGGUGUAAAAGCCGUGGGGAGGGUGAAGGUGCCAAUUCCAGGUUGUGGACGGCGCCGAUUCUGGACGGUGCAGUCGCGGGUGUUGUCUAAUAAAUUAACACUAUU